rnacentral:tRNA from 1 species
AGUAAGGUGGUGUAUUGGCACGCAGAUUUUUGAUGUCUGAAGUAGUUUUUCAAAUAGCUUCUUAUUA